rnacentral:rRNA from 1 species
AGAGUUUGAUCCUGGCUCAGGACGAACGCUGGCGGCGUGUUUAACACAUGCAAGUGGAGCGACGAACCAGGGCUUGCCCGUGGGCAGAGCCGCGAACGCGUGAGUAACACGUGGGUUACCUGCCUCGAUGACUGGGACAACCUGAGGAAACUCGGGCUAAUACCGGAUGUGCCCGCAAGGGUAAAGGAAGCUUCGGCCUCCGCAUUGAGAUGGGCCCGCGGCCCAUUAGCUUGUUGGUGAGGUAACGGCUCACCAAGGCUUCGAUGGGUAGCUGGUCUGAGAGGACGAUCAGCCACACUGGGAUUGAGACACGGCCCAGACUCCUACGGGAGGCAGCAGUGGGGAAUCUUGCGCAAUGCGCGAAAGCGUGACGCAGCAACGCCGCGUGGGGGAAGAAGGCUUUCGGGUUGUAAACCCCUUUCAGUUGGGACGAAGCUUCGUCGAUUAAUAGUCGGCCGGAGUGACGGUACCUUCACAAGAAGCACCGGCUAACUACGUGCCAGCAGCCGCGGUAAUACGUAGGGUGCAAGCGUUGUCCGGAAUUAUUGGGCGUAAAGAGCGUGUAGGCGGCCCGAUUAGUCCGCUGUGAAAGUCCAGGGCUCAACCCUGGAAUGCCGGUGGAUACUGUCGGGCUAGAGUCCGGAAGGGGCGAGUGGAAUUCCUGGUGUAGCGGUGAAAUGCGCAGAUAUCAGGAUGGAACACCAAUGGCGAAGGCAGCUC